UUUACUACAAAUCUGUAGCUUCGAUGCUAAUUGCUAUUUUUUGGAAAAGUUUAACAUAAAAACGAAAUAAGAGGCAGAGCCAUAAAACCUUCCUCGCAUCUUUUCUGGCCCUUGGUGAACGUGAUUAAUUAUUAUUACAACUAAGUGCAACAACUUUAUAUGGCGCUUACCCUUGCAAAAUCUUAUGAAAAAUCAAGAUUAUUACAUUCUGUCGCCGACAUUUAAUGAUCUUUGUGUGGGAUAUAAAUGGCAGU